UACGUAGGUGGCAAGCGUUGUCCGGAUUUACUGGGCGUAAAGAGCGCGCAGGCGGUCGUUCAAGUCGCGUGUGAAAGCCCCCGGCUCAACUGGGGAGGGUCACGCGAUACUGAUCGACUCGAAGGCAGGAGAGGGUAGUGGAAUUCCCGGUGUAGUGGUGAAAUGCGUAGAUACCGGGAGGAACACCAGUGGCGAAGGCGACUACCUGGCCUGUUCUUGACGCUGAGGCGCGAAAGCUAGGGGAGCAAACGGG
rnacentral:rRNA from 1 species